rnacentral:rRNA from 1 species
GGCGGCAGUGGGGAAUAUUGCACAAUGGGGGAAACCCUGAUGCAGCGACGCCGCGUGAGCGAUGAAGUAUUUCGGUAUGUAAAGCUCUAUCAGCAGGGAAGAAAAUGACGGUACUACUAA